GCCAGGCUGGUCUUGAACUCCUGGACCCCAAGUGAUCUGCAGGCCUCUGCCUCCCAAAGUGUUGGGAUUACAGGCAUGAGCCACCACGCCUGGCCUAGCUUGCUCACUUUUAAAUAAGCUGCCAUGUUGGGAGAGGCCAAUGUAGCAGUCAACUGAGGGUGAACCAUUAGUGUGGGAGGAGUAAUCCAACAACCAUGUAAGUUUGUAAGUACACAUGGUGGUUGGAUUACUUUCUAUAGCGGAGGCUUGAUGACUGCCACCCCAGCAGACUUCUCAAAGAUGCUUGUGAGAAACCUUGAAACAGGACCCACCCAGAUUGUGCGUGGAUUUCUGACCUAUGGGAAAUGUACUUCAAGCCACUAGGUUUUGAGAUAACUUGCUACAAAGCAGUAAAUUCACAGCUCUGUAAUGCCCACUCUAAAGGUCCUGACAUGGGCAUCUCCAUUACCUUAGUCAUUAUCUAAGUCAUCUCCAUUACCUAAGUCUACUUCAGUUUCUCUGCACAGCAUUUGAAGUGUUUAUGUCUGGCCCCAAUCUGCAUUUUCAUACUUAACAUGCAUUUGACUUAACAUGUCCAAAACUAGAUGCCUGAUGCUUCACUCCCCUAACCCCAUUCCCUACAAGUCUGCUUCCUAUAAUCUUCCCUUCCCAGGUAUUGGCAACACCAGCAGUCCAGCUGGUCAGGAGCUGUGGAAUCAACCUCAUGUACCAUGUGAAUCCCUCAGCAAAUCCUAUUGGUUCUACCUUCAAAAUACGUCUUAAACCCACCCCCUCUUAGCAUCUUCUUUGCUACCACCUUGGUACAGACCAUCAAACAAGCUUGGAAUACCGGUCUCUACUUCAACCUUUGCUCCCUACAGUCAAUUCAGAUGGAACUAGAGCGAUCUGUGAAAACCUGAAUUAGAUUUUGCCUGCCUGAGUUCCUCUAGUAGUGGCCAUGAUUGCCAGAGAAGAUAGAGCAGGUCCCUCCCAGGACUUGCAACUCCAGCCUGUGUCUGCAGGGGGUACUGUAGGGACUGAUUUCUCCAGCCCAUGGCAACAGGCCUUCAUCUUGUGCCUGGAAAGAGGGAAGUCCAAGUCUGUCUGGCAGAGAUGGUGCAGAUGGGCAAGUUUUUCAGACACUGCAGCCAGCACUUCUGGGACCGCAGCAGUGGAGCCUGCAGAGGGCCAGUUCCCCAGGCGUGGGCUAUUGCCACUGUCACUUACAGACUCCUCAUGUGAUAAAAAACCCCUAAACAGA